AAAUUGAAGAGUUUGAUCAUGGCUCAGAUUGAACGCUGGCGGCAGGCCUAACACAUGCAAGUCGAACGGUAACAGGAAACAGCUUGCUGCUUCGCUGACGAGUGGCGGACGGGUGAGUAAUGUCUGGGAAACUGCCUGAUGGAGGGGGAUAACUACUGGAAACGGUAGCUAA
rnacentral:rRNA from 1 species